rnacentral:siRNA from 1 species
UUUUCGUGAUUUGUGCUAUAUUA